UACGAAGGGGGCUAGCGUUGCUCGGAAUCACUGGGCGUAAAGGGUGCGUAGGCGGGUCUUUAAGUCAGGGGUGAAAUCCCCGAGCUUAACUUGGGAACUGCCAUUGAUACUAUUUGUCUUGAAUGUCGUGGAGGUUAGCGGAAUAUGUCAUGUAGCGGUGAAAUGCUUAGAUAUGACAUAGAACACCCAUUGCGAAGGCAGCUAACUACGCGAAUAUUGACGCUGAGGCGCGAAAGCGUGGGGGAGCGACCAGG
rnacentral:rRNA from 1 species